AGAGCCUCCUUGAUUGACUGGCUUCUCGCUGGGAGAACGUGCUUCCCGCCUAAAAUCCUGCAGCUGCUUCAUUCCUGCAGAAUUCAGGGGCUAGUCAUUGAGUCAAACCCAGGGCUUUUCUCACUGAGCCUUUGAAAGGUCCCUCCCCUCAACCACAAGCCCCAGAAUCCUGCAGGAAGGAGGCAGACACAGGGUUUCAGAUGAGGUGCCUAGGCUUUGCCUGCUCUUUCAGCUCUAGCGAUUUAUUAUGAAAGCGAUUUAACAAAAAAAAACCCCACAUGCUUCCUUUUGACCCUUGACAUAGAAAACAAAGCUACUGAGGCACAGAAAGAUGUAGCGCUUAACAAGGUACAUUUACAACAACUGUUUCAAUUAUUGAUGUGAAUAAUGUUGUUAAACAUAUUGGCAAUGGUGAGACAAUUAAAAAAACCCUCCUAA